AAGUCGUAACAAGGUUUCCGUAGGUGAACCUGCGGAAGGAUCAUUAACACGUAUCCAACGUUAAAACCCCCCCGUGAACCUUCAGUGUGCUCGUACGCUUUGUUAGAAAGUAGCAAUCCCUGGUAAAUCAUCGCCGAACAGUUUUGAUUCAGGGACUUCUGCGAAGAGUGUGCUUGUAGCGCGAGGCAAGUGGCCUGGCAUCCUGCGCAGUCACGAUCGCUAGAGGCCGACACGGCCGCGGGCUCACGCCCCUUAAUAACCUUUGCAUGAAAACGGGCCUGCGCUUAAUUGUGCGGCCAUAAACCGAACAACUGUUAACAAUGGAUAUCUUGGUUCUC
rnacentral:misc_RNA from 1 species